AAUAUACUCCCUCCAUUCCAAAAUAAAUGACUCAAAAAUGAUCAACUUUGUACUAACUUUAGUACAAAGUUGAUCAUUUUUGAGUCACUUAUUUUGGGAUGGAGGGAGUAUUUG
rnacentral:pre_miRNA from 1 species